GGCACCUUGGAGGCCGUGGCGCACGACGCGGAGCCCUUCUGGCGCCGGAUCACGUCUCGGACUACCUCCCCCAGGCACGGGCUCUCUGCAGAGGGCAGAAGAGCCCCGACGGAACAAGACGCUGAUAGAAUGAGUAAGAGUCUCCGGGCCAGGAUCCUCAGCCACACGGCCUUGGACAAGUCACUUGUCAUCCCUGAGCCUCAACUUCCUCGUCUGGAAAAUGGUGACACAUGUCCUGGACCUUCCUGCUACUUCAUGGGCUGCGGUGGGGUCAGAGGAGAUUGCAAACACCGUAAGGCUUGAUGCAUUUUAAAGCCUGAGGUGAGUCAUGUGAGGUCAUGUGAAUUUUGUUAAGCUUGAGAGACUUGUUAAAAAUUACGAGAUUGUUAAAAAGA